AUUGCUUGACGAGAAUAAAAGUUAUCUGUUCUUAUCAGCUUAAUAUCUGAUAUAUGUACUUCCCAUAGAAAAGUCAGAAUAUUAACCUAAUUUUUAAAAACCGGUGGAAUUGGCCAGGCUCGCUCUUCUUCUGUCAUAGAUUGGCCCAGUAUUGCAGUGCCAUUGCCAAGCUGUGUUUU
rnacentral:snRNA from 1 species